rnacentral:sRNA from 1 species
ACACAAGGAAGGAGGUGGUCCAAGAUAUGAAUGGCUGUUACGCCUAUAGGACACGUGAGGUGGCUGUCCGCUAGCGCCACCGCUGCUGGAGAUUCCGUUCGCGGAGCGCGUAGCGAAUCCCAGGCAGUCACCCGGCCCCCGAGUCCUCGGUCUUGUCCGAUCGAGAUCGGUGCAGGUAAGCCCGCAUCGUUACGGCUCGGGGGUCGUCCUGU